rnacentral:rRNA from 1 species
UACGGAGGGUGCGAGCGUUGUCCGGAAUCACUGGGCGUAAAGGGCGCGUAGGCGGCGCGGGAAGUCAUCGGUGAAAGUUCAGGGCUCAACUCUGAAUCGGCCGGUGAUACUCUCGUGCUUGAGCACUGUAGAGGCAGGUGGAAUUCCGGGUGUAGCGGUGGAAUGCGUAGAGAUCCGGAAGAACACCGGUGGCGAAGGCGGCCUGCUGGGCAGUAGCUGACGCUGAUGCGCGAAAGCCAGGGGAGCAAACGGG